GCGUCGGUGGCGUAGUGGUAAGCGUGAUGGCCUCUCACCCCAGUCGAUUGGGUAUCAAUUCCCGUCGACGCC
rfam:Aedes aegypti strain Liverpool supercont1.269 genomic scaffold, whole genome shotgun sequence.